UAGCUCAGUGGUAGAGCGCGUGACUUUUAAUCCCGUGGCCGUGGGUUCGAUCCCCAC
rnacentral:tRNA from 1 species